UGUUGUCUUCUGAUAUACGUUAUCUUGUUAUCUCAGUUUAUCUUUCGUGUGUGUGUCUUUUUAGCUUCUAUGUUCACAAAAUAUAUUCUAGGAAAUGGGAGACUCUCACAACACGUUUUUAGAUACUGGCAGCUUGGCCGCGGAUUCGAACAUGGAGUCUAGGCCCUCACGAACUCGCCUUUACUUUAGUGUUGCUAUCUAUUUAAAACAUUAGCCAGAUUGGCCUAAUGUUACAGUGAACCUGGCAUAUAUUAUCUGUGGCACUACGUACGCAUGGUCCUCUCCAGUGCUAAUGAAGUUGGAGCUGUCAGACGGCGAGGGCAGCACUGUCGCCUCAGCUCUGUCCCUGGGCAUGAUCCUGGGACCCUCGGUGUGCGGCGCCGUACUGGACAGGACUCGGGCGGAAGGGCACCCUGGGCCUAGGAAUGGGGUUCAUGUCCGGCUCGUACCUCUUGCUCACUGUGGUCAGCAGCGUCUCCUUGCUGUCCAUCGGAAGGGCCAUGGCCCGGCGUCAGCAAUGGGAUAGCGUUCACAGUCGUGCCUGUCUACAUCGCAGAGAUAUCAGAGGACGCAGUUAGAGGGUUCUUGAACACUCAAGGUCACAUCGCCUUCUGCUCCGGCAGUCUCCUGGUGUACUCUAUCGGGCCAUUUGUUAGUUACGCCGCCCUCCAUUAUAUGAUGCUCGGGAUGUGUUUACUUUUCUUUCUGCUGUUUUUUUUUAUCUGCCUGACUCCCCUCACUCACUGGUAAUCAAACAUGAAGUAACCCGAGCAAGAGAGACCCUGGUCUGGCUCAGGAAGAACAGGUCUGACUCUUACGCUGACAAAGAACUUCAGAUCAUACAGAGCUCAAUCCACCAGAGCCAGACAGAGUCAGGUUCCAUGAGAAAGUUGUUUGCGUCCCGAGGUAACCGCCGUGGUCUCCUUAUCUGCUGUGGACUCCUUACUCUUCAGCAGGUCUCUGGUAUGUCUAUCGUCUUCUUUUACGCGGAGCUGAUCUUCAAGAUGACCGGCACAGACAUUUCCACCAGCACUUGUUCUAUAGUAGUCGGAGUCUUCAUGACAGGAUCUGCUUUCAUCAGUCCUGUUGCUGUCAGGAACUUUGGCUACAAGAAACCUCUACUGGUGGCUGCUUCUGGGACAGCUUUGGGCAUGGUAUGUAUUAGCUCAGUUA